GCUUGUUUGGUAGCAACCCUGAGACGCUUUACAGCCCUAGACCCUAAAAGGUCAAAAGGCCAUCUUAUUCUCAAUAUACAUUUUAUUACCCAAUCUGCUCCCGACAUUAAACUCCAAAAAUUAAAUUCCAGCCCUCAAGCCCCACAACAGGACUUAAUUAACCUCGCCUUCAAGGUGUACAAUAAUAGAGUAGAGGCAGCCAAGUAGCAACAUAUUUCUGAGUUGCAAUUUCUUGCCUCCACUGUGAGACAAACCCCAGCCACAUCUCCAGCACACCAGAACUCCAAACACCUAAACUGCAGUGGCCAGGUGUUCCUCCAGAACCUCCUCCCCCAGGAGCUUGCUACAAGUGCCAGAAAUCUGGCCACCAGGCCAAGGAAUGCCCACAGCCUGGGAUUCCUCCUAAGUCAUGUCCCAUCUGUGUAGGACCCCACUGAAAAUCAGACUGUUCAGCUCACCUGGCAGCCACUCCCAGAGUCCCUGGAACUCUGGCCCAAGGCUCUCUGACUGACUCCUUCCCAGAUCUUCUCGGCUUAGCAGCUGAAGACUGAUGCUGCCGGAUCGCCUCGGAAGCCCUGUAGACCAUCAUGGACGCUGAGCUUUAGGUAACUCUCACAGUGGAAGGUACACAUCCAGAUGGCCGGUUCCUGCCUUAACUGAUGACAUUCCACCACAAAAGAAGUGAAAAUGGCCUGUUCCUGCCUUAAUUGAUGACAUUAUCUUGUGAAAUUCCUUCUCCUGGCUCAUCCUGGCUCAAAAGCGCCCCUACUGAGCACCUUGUGAUCCCCCACUCUGCCCGCCACAGAACAACCCCCCUUUUUUCUUUACCUACUCAAAUCCUAUAAAACGGCCCCACCCUAUGUCCCUUCUGACUCUCUUUUCAGACUCAGCCCGCCUGCACCCAGGUGAAAUAAACAGCUUUAUUGCUCACACAGAGCCUGUUUGGUGGUCUCUUCACAGGGGCGCGGGUGAAUGGAGCCAGAUCCCCGCGUUGCUGAUUGUCUCCUCUAGUGUGAAAUGGAACACCACUAAUGCCCAAUUGCCAGGGCUGUAGUGAAGAAAGCAAUGCCUGGCCUAGAGUGGGCACUCAACCUAUGGUUUCUAUUGACUCCUGAGGAGUUCAACAAGGUGGGCAUCAUUAAUAAACAUUAGCUGGAGAAGAAAACGAACAAGAUUGAUAUCUGGGGAAAAACAUGAAGGUUGCACAAAAUUAAAAGGCUGAGAAGAUAAGAAAUUUAAAUCAAUAUUACCCACGUAGGAAAAAGGCACAUAUGAUCAAAUAAAUCAUGAGAAGACCUUCAAAAAGAAUGCAUGUUUUGUGAAGAAAAAUGGACAGUUUCAUAAAUAUAUGUGAAGAGAGAAGGCAGGAAAGGAAGAUUAUAAGCCCCUAGAGAGAGACUGAAAUGAAUUCAAUGACAGAAGAGGCAAAUGCAGCAAGAAAAAUGAAUAACUUAUUUGGUUUAGUGCUCACUGGGGAGGACUUGAAGUUGUACUAGAAAGUGAAAUAUCUCCCAGAGGAAGAUGGCACACUCCUAAAAGCUAAGAACUGGAAAAUCAUUUACAUAGGUAACAUCUCAUUAUAAUGAAACCAACAGUACCACUAAAUUGUUUUAUUGGGACAAAAUUUUGUUAAAAUGAUUUCAGGUGUGAAAGCGCCUAUGCAUUGAUAAAGGGAGUAACAGUCAGUGGAUUCCUGAAUAUUAAAAAAGGCAGCAAAUAAUCAGAGAGAUAGAAAAUGCUUUAUGUUCAUAAAUGUGAGUCAUAGCAUUAUUUAUAGUAGAAAAUUCUGUAAAUAUACAAAAAGAGGGAAAUAGGUAAUUACAUUAUAAAAUUUAUAUGAGAAAAUAUUUUACCAAUAAAAUUAUGCUUAUAAAAA